AUUGAACGCUGGCGGCAUGCCUUACACAUGCAAGUCGAACGGUAACAGGUCUUCGGAUGCUGACGAGUGGCGAACGGGUGAGUAAUACAUCGGAACGUGCCUAGUAGUGGGGGAUAACUACUCGAAAGAGUGGCUAAUACCGCAUGAGAUCUAAGGAUGAAAGCAGGGGAUCGCAAGACCUUGUGCUACUAGAGCGGCCGAUGGCAGAUUAGGUAGUUGGUGGGAUAAAAGCUUACCAAGCCGACGAUCUGUAGCUGGUCUGAGAGGACGAUCAGCCACACUGGGACUGAGACACGGCCCAGACUCCUACGGGUGGCAGCAGUGGGGAAUUUUGGACAAUGGGCGAAAGCCUGAUCCAGCAAUGCCGCGUGCAGGAUGAAGGCCUUCGGGUUGUAAACUGCUUUUGUGCGGAACGAAAAGCCCCGGGUUAAUACCCUGGGGUCAUGACGGUACCGUAAGAAUAAGCACCGGCUAACUACGUGCCAGCCGCCGCCGUAA
rnacentral:rRNA from 1 species